rnacentral:rRNA from 1 species
GAACGCUAGCUACAGGCUUAACACAUGCAAGUCGAGGGGCAGCAUGGUCUUAGCUUGCUAAGGCCGAUGGCGACCGGCGCACGGGUGAGUAACACGUAUCCAACCUGCCGUCUACUCUUGGACAGCCUUCUGAAAGGAAGAUUAAUACAAGAUGGCAUCAUGAGUCCGCAUGUUCACAUGAUUAAAGGUAUUCCGGUAGACGAUGGGGAUGCGUUCCAUUAGAUAGUAGGCGGGGUAACGGCCCACCUAGUCUUCGAUGGAUAGGGGUUCUGAGAGGAAGGUCUCCCACAUUGGAACUGAGACACGGUCCAAACUCCUACGGGAGGCAGCAGUGAGGAAUAUUGGUCAAUGGGCGAGAGCCUGAACCAGCCAAGUAGCGUGAAGGAUGACUGCCCUAUGGGUUGUAAACUUCUUUUAUAAAGGAAUAAAGUCGGGUAUGGAUACCCGUUUGCAUGUACUUUAUGAAUAAGGAUCGGCUAACUCCGUGCCAGCAGCCGCGGUAAUACGGAGGAUCCGAGCGUUAUCCGGAUUUAUUGGGUUUAAAGGGAGCGUAGAUGGAUGUUUAAGUCAGUUGUGAAAGUUUGCGGCUCAACCGUAAAAUUGCAGUUGAUACUGGAUAUCUUGAGUGCAGUUGAGGCAGGCGGAAUUCGUGGUGUAGCGGUGAAAUGCUUAGAUAUCACGAAGAACUCCGAUUGCGAAGGCAGCCUGCUAAGCUGCAACUGACAUUGAGGCUCGAAAGUGUGGGUAUCAAACAGGAUUAGAUACCCUGGUAGUCCACACGGUAAACGAUGAAUACUCGCUGUUUGCGAUAUACUGCAAGCGGCCAAGCGAAAGCGUUAAGUAUUCCACCUGGGGAGUACGCCGGCAACGGUGAAACUCAAAGGAAUUGACGGGGGCCCGCACAAGCGGAGGAACAUGUGGUUUAAUUCGAUGAUACGCGAGGAACCUUACCCGGGCUUAAAUUGCAGAUGAAUUACGGUGAAAGCCGUAAGCCGCAAGGCAUCUGUGAAGGUGCUGCAUGGUUGUCGUCAGCUCGUGCCGUGAGGUGUCGGCUUAAGUGUCAUAACGAGCGCAACCCUUGUUGUCAGUUACUAACAGGUUCCGCUGAGGACUCUGACAAGACUGCCAUCGUAAGAUGUGAGGAAGGUGGGGAUGACGUCAAAUCAGCACGGCCCUUACGUCCGGGGCUACACACGUGUUACAAUGGGGGGUACAGAGGGCCGCUACCACGCGAGUGGAUGCCAAUCCCCAAAACCUCUCUCAGUUCGGACUGGAGUCUGCAACCCGACUCCACGAAGCUGGAUUCGCUAGUAAUCGCGCAUCAGCCACGGCGCGGUGAAUACGUUCCCGGGCCUUGUACACACCGCCCGUCAAGCCAUGGGAGCCGGGGGUACCUGAAGUGCGUAACCGCGAGGAGCGCCCUAGGGUAAAACUGGUGACUGGG